rnacentral:piRNA from 1 species
AAGUGAGGAUUCUAAGUAAAAAA